GCAGGAAGCGGAAGUGGCGUCACUGGCCCGCGGCGGUCUUUGUCCCGUGGCCUAGCGCCUUUCCGAGCCUCUCCUCUUGGUCGUCUUGCGGUGCUUGGUGUCGUCGGUGAGGCCGCGUGCCAGGAAGGUUCGGAUGCAAGGAGGGCGUUAAAGGACAGGUGUGGCCCGGCCUCCGAGGGGCCUCCUUAAAGAGGCCGGGUCCCCUCCGCUCGCCCCCUUCGCGGCCGCUGGCGCCCGCGUUGGGCCGGCCGAGAGGAGCGGUGAGGGCGCACCUGCGAAGUGUUUUCGGCCACGGUGCCUCCUUGUUCAAACUCCUCCCAAGUAACCGUUGUGACUCUUCUCCAGGAGGAUGAGAAUUUCCGCUGGGCAAGUCAGGUUGGCCCGGCCCUGCGGUGGUCACCGCCCUGUCGCUCCUGGCUGUCCCGAGCCAACGUAUGACGAUUGAUGACUGAUAACAUUUACUGAUUAAUGGUAAAUACAAAACACAACUCCAGAUUACCUGGUGUCCAUGGGGAUGGCUGUCUGUACUUGUAUUCAUAAGAUACCCUGAAAUGGUCUUGGUGUCAGAGAAAGGAAUGUUGGGUAAUUUAUUCUGUCACCGUUACAGGAUGGCAGCCAUUGAUUUGUCCUCUGGUAAGUCCUGUUGAUACCCCUUGUUUUUAAUAGACUCAGCUUUAGAUCACCCUUGCACAGUGGUCUGGGCCUGAGCAGUUAUGCUGCUGGCCCUUUAAGGAGGAGUCAAAAUGGGCCAACGACUGUGUUUUCUAAGUCGUCUUACUGAUAUGUGUACGUUGGGAAGAGGUACUACAUAACUUUUUUAUUAUAUUGCUUUGGGCAGAAAAUGAGUCCCAUUUCUCGGGGCUUAAAUUUCCUUCCCUGUCAAAUUGACUUACUCUUUUCCUCACGGGCAGCAUGGAUCACUAUCCCCUUUUCAGUUCUAGGUGAGAUGAGACCAUGCUGGCAUCCUAUAGCAGUAGUCUGUGUUUGCGGGAGAUUUCUUGAGAGUUUUGGGAAUUUCACACUAGAAUAGAAAGACUUCUAGGCAGGUGAAUGCGAGAAUUAUGGUCCUCUCUGGGUAUACGUGGCUUCUUUGUUUUCUUCUAUGUUUUCUUUCUGCCUUCCUGAGGAAAAGAUAACAGUAGGAAGGAUGGUGGCUGACUGGCUGAGAGAUUGUUCUUGGCUAGGCAAAAAGUAUGUCCUUGUACAAAAGGACAUAUCUAUAUUCACCAGAUGGACACAUUUCCUCCCAGGUGGACCGAUCUCCAGAGCUUCUUAAAGUCACUCAAAGACUGAGUGUCUAUUGAAUUUCCCCACAGAAUAGAACCUUUCAUAUUGGUGGUACGGGAAUACUCUGAAAAUAAUUUGAGCGUUUCAGUAAGUACUAACUAAACUUGACUCUCAUGAUGGUGACCUUUUUUAUCUAUCGUGUGCUCUCACAGAUGAUAUGGAAGAUGGAGGUGUGCUUUUCUCAAAGAAUUGAUCCAUUCACGACCAUUUAUCAGGUGUCUACAGUGUGUUCGGGCAUGUGCUGCAUUAGAGGGAAAUAAGAAAAGAGCUCCGAGUCCAGGGGUGGUGAGACAAGGUCAUGUUUAAGAGUUUCCAUUGAAGCCAUGUGACUGGAGUGAGUAUAGGUAUUUAAAAUAUUUAGAACCAUUGACCCUUGGAGUCUGAGAGACCUUGAAACUCUAUUACUGUUUCUCUCAUCCUUGUUCCAGUGAAUAUUGAUGAUGUUCCUUGAUCCAAGCCAUUACAUGUGCGGUUAUUUAGGAUUCAGUGACCUUUGGUGAUGUGCCUGUGGACUUCACCUUGGAGGAAUGGACUCUUCUGGACCCCUCUUAGAGAACCUUAUGCAGAGAUGCAGUACUGGAUGGAGAACUCCCAGAACCUGAGUAUGGUUAUCAACUCUUUAAACACACUUUUAUCUCAUGGUUGGAACAAGAAGAGUUGAGGACAAUGGAGAGAGGUAUUCCUCAGGGUGAGUGUGAAGAACAUCCCUCAUCAAUGAGAAGUUCAGUCAGUAUGUUUGGAAAUGUAACAAGAGGCUUCUUACGAGGAAACAGAACAAAUCUUUUGGGGUGUUCCAGGAGCCCUCUGGAAAAAUGCGAGCCUUCAAGAGAUCUUGUGGCAGCCGUGAGACACACCAAAGACCUUGAGAACUGGACCAAGACCUUGAGAACUGGACCAUAAGCUAGAGGACCCUCUAGGUAGAACGGCUUCUAGGUAGAGACAUAAAGAAAGCUGCAUAGGUUGUGAAACUUCGCAUUGAAACCACAACCCGCAGAAUGCAGACUGAAACUCUUGAGCUGAUUCUACCUGGUCAGUUGCCCGGUAAAAGAAAGAGACCGCAUUCUCUAUAGGAUUUAAAGGCCCAGAGUGUCAAAGUAUUAAAAAUGUCCAGAAUAUAAUCCCAAACCAAUCAAUUAUAUGAGCAACAGAGCUUGGGCUUGUGUAUGACAAGAGUGUAGUAUAAGUACGUGACAGUAAGGAUUUUUUUCAUUGUAAUGUAAGUGCUUGAAUUUGUGAAUCACUCUGGGCUUGCUCCUUGGUCUGUGCUUUGCCCUGCAAGAAAAGGGGGAUAAAAGGGGCACCCGAGUGGCUCAGUGGGUUAAGCAUCUGACUUCAGCUCAGGUCACAACCUCAUGGUUCAUGAGACUUUAACAAGGUCUCUCCAAUUUUGGACGCUUAACCAACAGGACCACCCAGGUGCCCCUCAAAAAUUCUUCUACACCCAGAAGAGAAAUGGGGGUUUCAGGGCAAACAGUGCCUCCCAAAUUGGAGAAUUACAAGCAACUGAAUCACAGCAUUCUAGAUAGAAACCAAUGACCACAAACCUCUGUGGCAACAAGUACCAAAAUAGAGAACGCUGAAAUGUAACAGACAAAUUGGUGGAGGCCAGCAAGGGCAAAUCUGACAGGUAAAAAUUCCAGUUAUUGACAGCACAUCCCACCCCCCCCCCCCCCGCAUUUGUGGAUUUUACCUGUAGGAGCUCAAGCAGCUUCUCACCACAAAUAUUGGAGAAAAAUUCCCUCAAACUUCUGGAAGGGUGAAGGUAAAAGGAAUCAUGUUGUUAAACGCCAGAGCAUCCUAACCUUCUUAACGAGGUCGGCCCUCACGAGAAACUAUUUAACCGGAGUCUGACCUGCUGGGGAUUUAUGGGAGCCUAACUCACCUGCAGGAAGGGAUAGACACAACUCCACCCCCAGAUAACCUCCACGUGGGAGAGGGAAAACACCUCCAGCCAACUCCAGCAAUCCCAUCCCACCAAAGAGGGAGAAAAACAGGACCACGUGUGAAAUUCACAAUUCAGAGGCAAAACGUCACCAGAGAAUGAGAUCUACUCAUAGGUCUAUACAGUGCUUCCCUUUCCACCAAACCUUACUACUAUCAGAUAGCUAAAGUCUUACUUAUGGCAGUUUUGUUUACCUAGUUGUUUAUAAUCAACUAUGAAAAAAAUGUAAAACACACUAAAAGGGAAAAAAAUACAUUUUGAAGAGAUGGUACAAACAUCAGAACUAGACUCAGAAAUGGCAGGCAUGUUGGAAUGGUCAACCCGGGAAUUUAAAACGACUGUUACUAAGAUGCUAUGGUCUCUAAUGGAUAAACUAGACAGAAUGUGGAAACAGAUAGUCAAUAUUUACAAAAUCCACAAAUACUACAUUAUAAGAAAAUAUUCUGAAUCUUGAGUCUAACUUUGAAAUAGGAAACUUCCUGUAAAAACACAACUCGCGCACACUGACUUAAGAUGAAACUGGAAACCACAGCAGUCCUCAAAAACAUAACAGCAUCUGAUGCUUGCUUCAAAAUCAUUCCAAGAAAACCACAAUAACUGGUGACAGCUACUCCAGAUGCAGAUAAUCUAGCCAGUGAAUUUUCUCUUAUAUGAAAGAAACCAUUCUGAUCAUAUGGAAAUACUUUUAAAGUUUAUAAAAAGGGGGAAGGCACCUGGCUAGCUGUCAGAGGAUCAUGUGACACUUGAUCUCUGGUGGUGAGUUUGAGCUCCAUGUUGGGCAUAGAGAUUACUUAAAUUAAUACAAAUUUUAAAAAGGGGUGGGGCGCCUGGGUGGCUCAGUCGGUUAAGCGGCCGACUUUGGCUC